rnacentral:rRNA from 1 species
UACGAAGGGGGCUAGCGUUGCUCGGAAUCACUGGGCGUAAAGCGCACGUAGGCGGCUUUUUAAGUCAGGGGUGAAAUCCUGGAGCUCAACUCCAGAACUGCCUUUGAUACUGGGAAGCUUGAGUCCGGAAGAGGUGGGUGGAAUUCCUAGUGUAGAGGUGAAAUGCGCAGAUAUCGGGAGGAACACCAAUGGCGAAGGCAGCUCGCUGGGACGGUACUGACGCUGAGACGCGAAAGCGUGGGGAGCAAACAGG